AGAGUUUGAUCCUGGCUCAGGAUGAACGCUGGCGGCAUGCCUAAUACAUGCAAGUCGAACGAGGAUCCUUGUGGAUCCUAGUGGCGAACGGGUGAGUAACACGUAGGGAACCUGCCCGCGCACCGGGAAUACGCUCUGGAAACGGAGAACAAAUCCCGAUGUACAGGAAGGAGGCAUCUUCUUUCUGUGAAACAUCCUGUAAGGGAUGGGGCGCGGAUGGACCUGCGGUGCAUUAGUUGGUUGGCGAGGGUAAAGGCCCACCAAGACGAUGAUGCAUAGCCGGCCUGAGAGGGCGGACGGCCACAUUGGGACUGAGACACGGCCCAGACUCCUGCGGGAGGCAGCAGUAGGGAAUUUUCGUCAAUGGGCGCAAGCCUGAACGAGCGAUGCCGCGUGAGUGAAGAAGGCCUUCGGGUCGUAAAGCUCUGUUGCGGGGGAAAAAAGGCAACUACAGGAAAUGGUAGAUGACAGAUGGUGCCCCGCCAGAAAGUCACGGCUAACUACGUGCCAGCAGCCGCGGUAAUACGUAGGUGGCGAGCGUUAUCCGGAAUGAUUGGGCGUAAAGGGUGCGCAGGCGGUCCUGCAAGUCUGGAGUGAAACGUAUGAGCUCAACUCAUGUAUGGCUCUGGAAACUGGAGGACUGGAGAGCAGGAGAGGGCGGUGGAACUCCAUGUGUAGCGGUAAAAUGCGUAGAUAUAUGGAAGAACACCAGUGGCGAAGGCGGCCGCCUGGCCUGUUGCUGACGCUGAGGCACGAAAGCGUGGGGAGCAAAU
rnacentral:rRNA from 1 species